GUGUGACAGGUCUGUGGUCGUGGUAAAGGGGUGUUUGUGACAGGGUCCCUGGGGUCGUGACAGGUCUGGUGGCGUGGUGAAAAGGGUUCUGGUGACAGGUCGGGUGUCGUGGUGACCAGGUAUGGUGUCGUGGUAAAGGGGGUGUGUGACAGGUCUGGUGGCGUGGUAAAGGGGUGUGUGACAGGUCUGGUGUCGUGUGACAGGUCUGGUGUUCUGGUGAGACAGUCUUGGUGGGCGUGGUAAAAGGGGUGUGGGAGACAGGGUCUGGGUGUCGUGUUGACGGUCUGGUGUGUUGGUAAAGGGGUGUGUGACAGGGUCCUGGUGUCGUGUGACCAGUCGGCUGUUGUCUUGUGACAGGUUCCCUGGUUGUGCGUGGGUGAUAGGUCUGGUGUCGGGUUGACAGGUCUGGUUGUCGUGAGACUGGUCUGGUGUCGUGUGACAGGGUCCUGGUGUCGUGUAGACAGGUCUGGGUGUCGCGUGAGACUGGUCCUGCUUAGCGUGUGACAGGUCUGUGGUGUGGUAAAGAGGGUGUGUGAACAGGUCCUGGUGGUUGUGUUGACAGGUCCUGGUGGCGUGGUAAAAGGGUGUGUGACAGGUCUGGUGUCGUAGUGACAGGUUCUUGUGUCGUGGUGACAGGUUCGGGUGUCCGUGGUAAAAGGGGUGUGUGACAGUCGGU
rnacentral:lncRNA from 1 species